rnacentral:rRNA from 1 species
CCUACGGGCGGCAGCAGUGGGGAAUAUUUCACAAUUUUGUAAACCCUGAUGCCGCGACGCCGCGUGAGUGAAGAAGUAUUUCGGUACGUAAAGCUCUAUCAGCAGGGAAGAAAAUGACGGUACCUGACUAAGAAGCCCCGGCUAACUACGUGCCAGCAGCCGCGGUAAUACGUAGGGGGCAAGCGUUAUCCGGAUUUACUGGGUGUAAAGGGAGCGUAGACGGCAGCGCAAGUCUGGAGUGAAAUCCCAUGGCUUAACCAUGGAACUGCUUUGGAAACUGUGCAGCUAGAGUGCAGGAGAGGUAAGCGGAAUUCCUAGUGUAGCGGUGAAAUGCGUAGAUAUUAGGAGGAACACCAGGGGCGAAGGCGGCUUACUGGACUGUAACUGACGUUGAGGCUCGAAAGCGUGGGGAGCAAACAGGAUUAGAUACCCUUGUAGUC